CGAGGCACUUCCGCCACUGGAGGUGGAGAGCGCGGCCUUCGUUCCUUUCAGUAAGGAAGGGAGGCUGUUCCUGGACUACUUCUGACCUGUUUUUUAAGAAAGAGCGCGUCAUACACAGAUGGAGUCUUGGGGAUAUCCUCUGCGGAUUUUUCAGAACCACAGACAAGAUCGUGGUAUCUCCCAGCCUCCUUUCCUUCCCCUCGCCUGACUUCUGAUAGAGGGCUGUAGGGAGGAGGAAGUGGCUCUCCUGGCAGCAGAGCCCCACUGUGACAGGACUUAGCAUUCAUCUUGUCUUUCUGUUCCGAGUGGGAAAAGCUGCAGGGACAUCUGUUUCAUGGACAUCAUCAUAUUCUUCUCAGCGUGCCCAGCGAGAAGUUGGUACAAAGGAGUAACU